rnacentral:snoRNA from 1 species
CCACUCAUAAGGGGAGAACGCUGCUCUUCUGUUUGCUCCCACUGAUCUUUAGAAAUAAUUUCUGGGAGCACAGGGCUCUGCCUCUAUGAUGUACAGUCCCUUUCCACAAAGUUGGAGAUGAAGCUGGGCCUUGAUUUCUUGGAGCCCUCUGGACAAGGAGACACUC